AUACGGAGGGAGCAAGCGUUAUUCGGAAUCACUGGGCGUAAAGGACGCGUAGGCGGGUUUGUAAGUCAGGUGUGAAAUCCUACAGCUCAACUGUAGAACUGCACUUGAAACUACAGACCUAGAGUAUGGAAGGGGCAGAUGGAAUUAGUGGUGUAGGGGUAAAAUCCGUAGAUAUCACUAGGAAUACCGAAAGCGAAGGCGAUCUGCUGGGACAUUACUGACGCUGAGGCGUGAAAGCGUGCGGAGCAAACAGGAUUAGAAACCCUAGUAGUCC
rnacentral:rRNA from 1 species